rnacentral:rRNA from 1 species
UACAGAGGGUGCGAGCGUUGUUCGGAAUUAUUGGGCGUAAAGGGCUCGUAGGCGGUUUGUCGCGUCGGGAGUGAAAUCCACUGGCUUAACUGGUGGCUUGCUUUCGAUACGGGCAGACUGGAGGUAUGCAGGGGAGAACGGAAUUCCUGGUGUAGCGGUGAAAUGCGCAGAUAUCAGGAGGAACGCCGGUGGCGAAGGCGGUUCUCUGGGCAUGUCCUGACGCUGAGGAGCGAAAGUGUGGGGAGCGAACAGG